GCCCUGGUUGAUUAAUGGAGAUCACCCACACCCCUUGAAACGUUUCUCGAGCAGAUUGAUGUGGGAGACGGAGGUUCGAAUCCUCCCCAGGGCA